rnacentral:rRNA from 1 species
AUUGAACGCUGGCGGCAUGCCUUACACAUGCAAGUCGAACGGCAGCACGGAGCUUGCUCUGGUGGCGAGUGGCGAACGGGUGAGUAAUAUAUCGGAACGUACCCUAGAGUGGGGGAUAACGUAGCGAAAGUUACGCUAAUACCGCAUACGAUCUAAGGAUGAAAGUGGGGGAUCGCAAGACCUCAUGCUCGUGGAGCGGCCGAUAUCUGAUUAGCUAGUUGGUAGGGUAAAAGCCUACCAAGGCAUCGAUCAGUAGCUGGUCUGAGAGGACGACCAGCCACACUGGAACUGAGACACGGUCCAGACUCCUACGGGAGGCAGCAGUGGGGAAUUUUGGACAAUGGGCGAAAGCCUGAUCCAGCAAUGCCGCGUGAGUGAAGAAGGCCUUCGGGUUGUAAAGCUCUUUUGUCAGGGAAGAAACGGUGAGAGCUAAUAUCUCUUGCUAAUGACGGUACCUGAAGAAUAAGCACCGGCUAACUACGUGCCAGCAGCCGCGGUAAUACGUAGGGUGCAAGCGUUAAUCGGAAUUACUGGGCGUAAAGCGUGCGCAGGCGGUUUUGUAAGUCUGAUGUGAAAUCCCCGGGCUCAACCUGGGAAUUGCAUUGGAGACUGCAAGGCUAGAAUCUGGCAGAGGGGGGUAGAAUUCCACGUGUAGCAGUGAAAUGCGUAGAUAUGUGGAGGAACACCGAUGGCGAAGGCAGCCCCCUGGGUCAAGAUUGACGCUCAUGCACGAAAGCGUGGGGAGCAAACAGGAUUAGAUACCCUGGUAGUCCACGCCCUAAACGAUGUCUACUAGUUGUCGGGUCUUAAUUGACUUGGUAACGCAGCUAACGCGUGAAGUAGACCGCCUGGGGAGUACGGUCGCAAGAUUAAAACUCAAAGGGAUUGACGGGGACCCGCACAAGCGGUGGAUGAUGUGGAUUAAUUCGAUGCAACGCGAAAAACCUUACCUACCCUUGACAUGGCUGGAAUCCUUGAGAGAUCAGGGAGUGCUCGAAAGAGAACCAGUACACAGGUGCUGCAUGGCUGUCGUCAGCUCGUGUCGUGAGAUGUUGGGUUAAGUCCCGCAACGAGCGCAACCCUUGUCAUUAGUUGCUACGAAAGGGCACUCUAAUGAGACUGCCGGUGACAAACCGGAGGAAGGUGGGGAUGACGUCAAGUCCUCAUGGCCCUUAUGGGUAGGGCUUCACACGUCAUACAAUGGUACAUACAGAGCGCCGCCAACCCGCGAGGGGGAGCUAAUCGCAGAAAGUGUAUCGUAGUCCGGAUUGUAGUCUGCAACUCGACUGCAUGAAGUUGGAAUCGCUAGUAAUCGCGGAUCAGCAUGUCGCGGUGAAUACGUUCCCGGGUCU